rnacentral:lncRNA from 1 species
UAAAAAUAAAAUAAAAUAAAUAAUAGGCAUUUAUAGAGAAAUUGGGGCACACGGUCGUGGGGCAUGCCCGUGUGCUCUAAUAUCAGCCCGUGCAUUUCGUAGUUUUUGAAAUUAAGCGCAUUAGUGUACACGGCCAUGUUGCACAGCCGUGUCGAUCUCCGUUCGCUUCUCCCACGCCUGUGUAUGCAGGUGCAUGCCC